rfam:Camelus ferus unplaced genomic scaffold scaffold151, whole genome shotgun sequence.
GAGGAUAUAGCUUAGUGGAAGAGUGCAGUGCUUAGCAUGCACGAGGUCCUGGGUUCAAGCCCUGAUACCUCCA